UACAGAGGUCUCAAGCGUUGUUCGGAUUCAUUGGGCGUAAAGGGCGCGUAGGCUGCGGGGCAAGUCGGGUGUGAAAUCUCAGAGCUCAACUCUGAAACUGCACUCGAUACUGCUUGCUUGAGGACUGGAGAGGAGAUUGGAAUUCACGGUGUAGCAGUGAAAUGCGUAGAUAUCGUGAGGAAGACCAGUGGCGAAGGCGGAUCUCUGGACAGUUCCUGACGCUGAGGCGCGAAGGCCAGGGGAGCAAACGGG
rnacentral:rRNA from 1 species